AUUGAACGCUGGCGGCAUGCUUUGCACAUGCAAGUCGAACGGUAGAGGGGCAACCCUUGAGAGUGGCGAACGGGUGAGUAAUGCAUCGGAACGUGCCCAGUAGUGGGGGAUAGCCGGGCGAAAGCCGGAUUAAUACCGCAUACGACCUGAGGGUGAAAGCGGGGGAUCGCAAGACCUCGCGCUAUUGGAGUGGCAGGUGUCAGAUUAGGUAGUUGGUGGGGUAAAGGCCUACCAAGCCGACGAUCUGUAGCUGGUCUGAGAGGACGACCAGCCACACUGGGACUGAGACACGGCCCAGACUCCUACGGGAGGCAGCAGUGGGGAAUUUUGGACAAUGGGCGCAAGCCUGAUCCAGCCAUGCCGCGUGCGGGAAGAAGGCCUUCGGGUUGUAAACCGCUUUUGUCAGGGAAGAAAUCUUCUGGGCUAAUACCCCGGGAGGAUGACGGUACCUGAAGAAUAAGCACCGGCUAACUACGUGCCAGCCGCCGCCGUAAAAC
rnacentral:rRNA from 1 species